UACGUAGGGGGCAAGCGUUGUCCGGAUUUAUUGGGCGUAAAAGGCUUGUAGGUGGCCACGCCAAGUCGGAUGUGAAAUCUCCCGGCUCAACUGGGAGGGGUCAUUCGAUACUGGCGGGCUCGAGGCCGGUAGGGGGAAGUGGAAUUCCCGGUGUAGUGGUGGAAUGCGUAGAUAUCGGGAGGAACACCGGUGGCGAAGGCGGCGUCCUGGACCAAUACUGACACUGAAACGCGAAAGCCAGGGGAGCAAACGGG
rnacentral:rRNA from 1 species